AUAUUCGUCGGUAUCCGCUCGAAGUAAUUUACGUUUAUUAUUAUCUGUUAAAUCUACCAUAAGCGAGAUUGCGUCGAUGGCUCGUAAUAUUUAAUUUCAUUCUUACGAGAUACACGCGCGAGAUAGUGAUUUUGUUGUUGAGAAUAAUUCUACCGUAUUCUACGUUUUCCAUUCUACAAAAAUAUGCCAAAAGUAUAUGCCACAAAAGCGCAGGCCGUUUUUCCAAACAUUUUGAUUCUUCAAUUUCUAACGUUUUCAAAAAUUCAAAACCGGGGGAAAAAGAAAAAUUAUAAAACAACUACACGGAGAAUAACAGAAACAUUUACAGAAAAAUAUCUAAGUUCCUUCGUGAAAUUUCCAAAAAAUACAAAAAUCACCGAACAAUACAACGAUGCGGAUGAUAAGAAGUAAAGGAGAGAGAAGAAAGAGAAACGAACGCGUAGGUGGUUGUGGUGCUGAUAUUAAACGCGAUCAAAGUGCAUCUGAGUAAGAAUCGAAGAGGAGACCGCGCGGUGGCAAGCCUGCGAAUCGGAUUCGCUUUCGGAGGUCGUAUGCACAUGUGGCUGCUUAUCGCUCGGCGCGGGUGCAUGCACGUGGGUGGGACCGAGAGGGCGAUAUGCACACACGCGGGCAUCCGGUGCAGCACGCUGCUGCACCGUCGAGAGAGAGUACAAACGGCUGAAAGCGAAACGUAAACAAACAGGUAGCUCUUCAUCCAAACCAAAUAGCGGGGGAGUAAAACUGUGCUCGGCGCGCUGUCGGCAGUUGCCGACGCGAGCACGGAAACUUUCUUCCCUUUGUUUCCCAUUAUAUUUCCACAUUACUUUUUUAAACGCCCCGUUAAAUAGUAAGCGCCGCGAGUCUCGCGCGCAAUUUUAGCCAUUAGAACAAAACGAAGGAAAAGAGCGAAGGGCGGUGUGGAGGGCGGAGAAUGAAAGAGACACGUAAACAAGACAGGCAAAAGGGUGAAAAAGAAGGGAGAGAGAGAGAGAGAGAGAGAGAGAAAUAGAAGUUUCAACGCCGUGAAAUUCGCGUACCCCGUAAUACCUGCUUGUUUGCAUCCCUGUAUUCUACUAUUUUAUUACUGUAAGAUACAAACAGUUUCUAAAUUGUUAAAAGCGCGGAAGAAUUUUGUUGAAAUAGAUAUUGUUUCUCUGGGAUAAAAAUUCUGAAUCGUUGUGCAUUAUCGUUUGUUAGGAAGCUUUAUAUCGUGAACGAGAUUUAUUUAGAGUCGUGCGACUGGUUACUUUUAUAUUGCUGUAUUUUCUGUGUUUUCUUCUCGCGUUUCAUUGUAAACAGUAACGUUUAUGUUUAUAUUAAAAAUUAUUAUAUACGAACUAACCGAAUUGAAAUAAAGAGUUUUGUUAUACGACGAAUCUUUCUCGAAUUUGUUUUCUAUAGAUUAACAUAUCUUUGUACAAUUGGAUAAUUUUCUAAGUGGGGACAAGCUUAAUUUCUUUUUUAAAUUAGGAACGCUAUUUUUAUUUCAUACGACUGUUGACUACGUAUUUUUUCAGCCUCUUGAACGUUUCAAGAAUAUUAAUCGCUCUAAGACUAAUUUCACACCCAGUUACGUUUAGUUUCUACUAAAAAGCCUUGUAGAUUUCUUUUCAAAACGAUUAUUCCGGUUUUUAAACAUAUUACGUUAAAAAACUUCCUUUCAGCCACCACAAAGUAAUAUGAAAAAUUAUACUUAUCGUGUCUUUCCUCUGUAGUGUUUAAUUUAAAGAUGUAAAUCUUGAUCGAGUCGCUUAUUUCCUAUCAUCCUACAAUUAAAUAUAAUUUUUUUGGAAUAUAAUAUAAUAUUAUAUCGCGUGAAACGAUGGGAAGUGUUUCGAUUGAAGAGAUAAAUCGGGUUCGAAAAAGUGCGUUUUAAAUGGACGUUUCCGCAGAUGGAAGCGCCGUUGAUUUAUGCGCAUCGUUAUGAGGUCUGAUUUAAUAUCUUGCUGCUCCUUGUUCACCGUUCCUUUUCUUUUUUUCUUCUAUUUUUUCUUUUUUUCUUUUUGUUUCUCUUCUUAAACGGAUCCUAUUUUCAACGAGAAUAUCGUUCGACAUUGAUCGGUGAUACAGGAAUUUUUAAUGAAAUCGUCGAGAAGGUUUCAGUAUCCCCUUGAACGAACUUCUACGUUUAUCGUCGAUCGUCGAUAUUCGGGAUUGUGUUUAAUUUAUCGGUCGCGGGAACCAGUUGAAGAAGUACUGCAAGCAAUCGUUAAUGUGACAGCCAAUGCAUUCUAAUGGAAAACUUCUAAUAACGAGUCGAUGUAUGAAAUUUAAUUAAAUGCAAUUAUACCUUGCUUGAUUAUCUUUAAAUUUCUAUUUCCAAUACGUUUCUUUCAUUCGUAUUUCACAGUAGCAUAGUUGAUUUAUAAUAUAUAUAGUUCUUUUAUUUUAAACUUUAAAUAUAUAUUUAUUUAUUUAUUUAUUUAUUUAUAUAUAUUUAAAGUUUCAGCAAUCACAGACAUGCAAAGAGAAAAGUAACCACAUCAAAUAAUUCGUGGCCAUCGUUUAAUCUAUACGAGCGACAGCAAUUAUAUUUUAAAUUGUUAUGAUCGUGCUGAGAAUGAAAUUAUCUCGAAUCAAUAAUUUAUACCGCUGUUCAGAAAUAAUUACAUAUCUAAAUAAUUACGUACAUCUUAUUCGAUAUUUUCACUAUUAUCAACUUACACAACUAUAUAUUAUCAACUAAAGUUAAUUAACGAUUAGGAAUGUGUAUUACGCAUGGAUUCAUAGCGUUCCAAAUGGUUGCAUACAGCAUGCGGAUACGUACAUGGUUUCACAGGGCUUGGUGAACAAUUUUUUUGAAGAUUAUAAUACCGAUUCAUAGCGCUGGAAAGGUUAACCCUUUCACACUCGUGUUACGUAUAACGCAACAUCAUAGUUUAACAGAUUAUUAAGUAAGCGAUGAAUAUAUCCGUUUUUGAUAAAACCGGUGUUAAAUUUUAAUAUAUCGUAUCUUCUUCUAUAAAAGCAUCAGAAAAGAUGUAUUUCCAUUAUAAAUAACACUGGUUAAUAAAGUUUUUGACAUAAUAGUACCUAUCUUUGUACUGAAUUCUAAUAUGUAUUCAAAUUUUUUUCAUCACCUAUAGUCAUUACGUGACUGCAUUCUUUAUUACUUAAUAAUUACUGAUACAGUUACACUAAUAGAGAUUUAGCGUACAAGAUGUCUUUGAAUAUCUGUCUAUUUGCGAGAUUACCAGCGGAGUUUCCAUAUACUAGCUAACUACUAUUGGAUGAGUUAAACGGGAUAGUUUUCAAAUCAAAUGUUCCAGGAAGUCGUCGAUCAUCUUCGGAUAAUACUUUAUUAAACUAUGUGUCACUAAAAAAUCCUAUGUGACGAAACCAGAUUUCAUAUCUAAAUUCAGCACGAGGAAUGCAAUUGAAAUGACGUAUAAAAAAGUACAAAAUAAUUAUAAACCAGCGUAUCUAAUCAAUGAAAAGGAUGGAAUCUCCUUCAACCAAAUCUAUAGCUCAACUAAAAUUUUCUCUUUCGUAAUCUUAAAACUUGCACAUUGCGCGAGAUGAAAGCUAUAUGACUUUUGAACAACCCCAUCUCUCUCUCCCUCUCCCUCUCUCUUACUCACUCACUCUCUCCUUUGGUAAUUUUCACGAAAUUUUCCGUAAACCGAAGAAAGUCGUUAAAUUGAACCAAAGAAAUUGGAAAUUUUCCGAUUGACAUUUUCAAAAUCGUGAUCAAUCGUUUUCUCCGAAAGCCGAAAUGCCGGGUGUUCGGCAUUCGUCGAGUCCGAUGACUGAGAAUACAGUUGCUUUUGUGCACCGUUAAAGAAUUAAAGAGCGUGCAGUUUUGCAUUGCGCGCGGCUACGAGCGGCAACGACGAGCGAGAAACGCGACGACGACAAUGCAAACGCUUCCACUCGCAACGGCAAUUGUUCGCGGAAUAAUGUCCCGCUAAGAUACAAAGAAAAACUGGUAUCUGCAGUCGAUUCCGCGUAACGGCCAAGGUAAACGCCUGUGCAGCUUGCAAAAAGCACGAAAAGGGAUUGCGCGUGGCUCGUCGAUAAUCGUACGACAACGCUCUCUUCAACGCGUAACUCUCUUUCUCUUUGAGAAAGCUACGAACCGAUAUAAUGAACAUUCUUCUUCGCGUACACGGCUGUUUUUUUUUUCACAUCGCAAACCCUUUCCAGCGGUGGCUCUUUCGCGUCUAAAUCGGCGUUCUUGCUCGAUUUUACCCACCGAUCAAAGCGAUCCUUUCGUUUGACGAGUUUAAAAACGGCCGCUGCAUCGCGCGUUCCGAGUUUCGCCGUUCCAAUGAAAAUUUACCCACGUAAAUUAUUUCUCGUUCGUGUACAAGCGUUAAAAUGUCUUUCCUUUUUGGUUGCAAGCUCGUUUCUUUGUUUCUUCGCGAGGAGAAAGCUCUCGCGCGGAUAUGAAUAUUCUUUUCGCGUCCGUAGUUUGAAUGGGUCGCCUUCCAAACGGAUCGACGAUCUUCUGCGUGUAGGAUAUAGCUACUAUCGUUGACACGGAGUCUACUACCAAAUUUUUGUAUACGAAGUUUUUUAAAUUGAACAAAGAAUACUUUUACUGUGUUUUACUGCGAAUUGUUAUUUUUCGUAGAAAGGACACAAAUAUUUAUAUAACUGAUAAAAGGAAGUAAAUUUUAUACGAAGGUUCCUUUUUGUUUACGCACAAAUCUUAAGUGACAUCUCUACUUUCAAAAUACCUGCUUGUUCGGUUUGUUCUUUUUUUUCAUUUUAUGCCGCAAGUUAAUAUGUAAAUUGCAAUAGAGCAAAGUAACGCGCUAAUGAUGGAAAUAAGUCAGACGUAGAAUCGUUGGAGAAUCUAUGCGGCUUAAUUAAUUUCUUUCGUACGAUAAUAAAUAGUUUAUGACAGAAAGAUGUUAUUAAAACGAUAGUUUUUAUUCUAAUAUUUAUGAGAGUAUAUUUAAAGUAAUUCUAGAACGACACAGAGCAUUUAUUUGUUUAAUUAGUUCCUUUCGUUUCGCGCGACGAAUAUCCUUGUUUGUUAAAUAAUGAUAAACGAAUCACAACGGAAAGAUAUUAACGUGAAAAUUUCAAUACAAAGGCAACGGUUAUUUAACUUAUUAUAAUAAAAAGGCCCGGUAAUAAUAAACGGAUAGUGUAUAUAAAAAGCAUUGUGCUUGAACGCUUAAAAACGCUUGCCUGAAAUUGUUAUUACUUAAAAGAAACAUUACCGAUAGAUAAAUUACAUGAAACUAUUUCCCUGAAAAAUAAGAAGACCAAGAAUGAGAAUAAAAAUUACAAUUCUUCGCCUUUCUCUAACUUUCUACUUAACAGUUCACUUCCAUCGCUAUACCUGUUAACCAAAAUACCACGAUUUAUCAUUCAUAAAUAUCACAUCGCCUAUUCCUAUGGAUCCAAAUAAAUCCUAUUAAAUUGACAAAAAUUCUUCACCACGCUCACCACAAGUCCUAUGAAAUCAUAGAAAAGAACGUUCAUUACGGGGUCGAAUAAAAAGCAAGGGCGAUCAAUUUUGCGUCUUAUUAGGUAUACCCAAUAUAUCAUGGUAAGCGAGUUAAUAGUAAAAAGAAAUGGUAAGAAACACCACGAUAUCGAGCACAAGAACUAUCGUUUACGUGCGUCACGGUGCCAAGUGUGAUGGAAAGGAAACGAGUCCUCACUCCGCUCGAUUUUAUGUGUCGACCAAGGUAAAGCAGCGUUACGAACGGUGCGUAGUUACUCAGGAGUAAAUGAGUAGGUCAGGAAAGGUUAUGAAUCAUCGUGCGAAACGAAUUUCACGGCGCGCGUCGCUUCGAGCCUGAGAUCGAAAAAGUGCCGGCCGAAAAAAUUUAUCCGCGGAAUAUGGAGAUGAUUCGGGACGGGGUACGAUAGAGCUUGGAGGGAAAUUUAUCGAGAUAGAGUGCGGAGGAAGAGAAACCACGGGCAUGAGAAAAAUUUCUUUCGCUCCACUGCCGGAUUUCUUUUAGGAAGCUGAUUCGCGCCUGCAUUUUAAUAUGGAUCAUCGGUGUAAUCGAGGGAAACCAGUUUUUAAUCGCCAGUGAAACUAUCGCAGUUUAGAAAGAAACGGAGAAAAUACAAUUUUUUUGUAUUCCUUACGUGCUUUCUUUUUGGUCUGGAAAUGGUUUUGGCGUUAAUAGAGAAAGUGUUAUUCUUGGCUACGACCGCUUCUUUCUUUAAUGAUCGAUAAAUGUUGGUGAGAAUUAUAACAACGACGAUUAAAAAUUAGAAUAUAUAGAUAUAAUAUUGCAAUAUUAAACCGAAUGGUAGUAAAUUACGAAUAAAUUACAAAUGAAGUUAUGAUUUACUGUACCUAUUAUCUGCAACAGUUUGAUAUUUUUCAUAAAUUUCCAAAAAAUGGCAGAAAAUUGCUUUUUAAGAAAAGAUCUCUUAUCGUAACUUUGUACUUGCGUAUUUCGCUCUUUAUCUUUUAAUCGAGGGUUAGAGUAGAGGAAUGAUUGAUCGUAAGUAACGAAUUUGAUGAAUUUCGACGAUUCAUUGAUCACGUUGCCUUUCCAUUUGUAAUUUCGAUAACUCAUAUCAAAGUUUCAUAUCGAAUUAAUAGUCCAGUAACACUAUUGAAGUUAAUAGGAUCUCUAUGAAAGUUCAUUAAGUUUUGAUCGUUAGUGUUACGAAACGCGAACGAUAUUUUUUACAGUACAUUUUUAACAAAUUAGUUAAUCGCAAUAACAUAAGGUCGAGCAAAACUGCGCGCAUUUAUUUUCGAAAGGCAGUGGAGCUUCUUUUACAAGCUAGUUUUACAAGAACGAAGUAAAACUAUGCACUGUAGUUAUCUCUGUAUGCACACGCGAUUAACUUAAUUCAGCUCUAUACAGAAUAAAACUUUUGAAACUUUAGCGGUUCCAGUUCUCGGACUCGGCGUUGCUUAAAACUUCUAGAUAUCCACCACCUUCUCCAACUUCCCAUGAAACUAGCCACAAACGUUCCAAAAGAAAGAUUCUAUUCGCAAGACACAAGCUAAAGUGCCUAUUUCUUAAAUAGGAAGAUGCUCGUUUUCAAAUUUACGUAGACUGAUUUUAACAAAUCUUUCUCAAACGACCUGGAUAAUAUCGCGAGGAAAACGUGGUAUAAUAUUCUGCGGAAAUGAAAUGUUAUGGUGUGGUAUAUUCGAAUCCAUUGCAGCUGUCAGGGAAAAAUAUAUAAAAUUCACGUAGCAGUCAACGAGUUAAUAACGCCUGAAAGUUUCCAUUUAGCCAAGAAUUUCCCGCAACAUUCGCUAUCCCGAUCAAUCACUCUCGUUACCAGGAAAGAACGAUCGAAGCUAGGACAGCCCGAUUAAAACGAAGCCAAGUACGCUCUCGUCGGUUCCGUGGAGGAAGCGGCUGCUGACAACGCGAUUCACGGAGUUCCAUGGAAGUCGAGGCAGUGAAAGGAAAGAUUGGAGAGUAGCUGGCGGGCGAGUACGGCGGCACUGCUGAAGAACUUGUACAGGACAAGGAGAGGAAUAGGGCGGUCUUCGUGGCGAUUCGUUGACGCAGGGCAAAGAAGUGGCUCAUCGUCACGCUGUCUGCCAUCUGCGUGCUACUGCCUCUUCAAAUGACCGAUCCGCAGCGCUUCUGUUACGGGGGUAGGCGCAACAUCGCGUGAAAGAUCGCGCGAGAUAGUCGGGAAAGAGAGGUGAAAAAAGAAAUUUCUUCGCCGAGUGGAAACGCGACGGAUGUCGUGCGGUUGGGAAAAAAUGUGUCGUGCGGUUUUACGAGUAUAAUUGAUGUAAAUCGACGAUUAGAACCGUCUCUGGUAGUUUUAUUCGGUACGAUUAAUGUAACGAGCCAGAUACUAAGAUCGCGAAGAGUUGAAAUUGAAUUCGGAGUUGAUUUAAAUUCAAAUGAUCAUUUUGCCGCGUAGACGAUGCGUUAAGAAAUUUAUAUACAAUUGAAAAAGUGAUAAAUUAAAGAAUUAUUUAAAGACUAGUUGAUUGUAUAUAGCUUACCAAUUAUAUAGACAGGAUGCUUCGCUGGAGAAUUACCGGAGAAGUAAAAAGCGCCGAUAAAAUUGCCUAUAAUCCGAUUUCAAGAGGAUGAAAAAUACAAUGCAACGUAGUUAUGUAUAUUACGUUUAUGUAAGAAAAUAGUUAUGUAUGUAUGUAGAGCGUCGAUUAGAAUUAUAGAAAAAUUAUAAUUGUGAAAAUUAGAUAUAUCAUGUAUAGAAAAUAUGACUGAACAUGAAGCUCCAAACAGGUCGAGUUGAUUUAAGGCAUUAUAAACACUAUAUAUUGCCGCACAAUACUGGCAAUAUACAAAAUGAAAAUAAUAUGACGUAACGCGAAAGAAUAUUUCAAGUCAAGCAAGUGAUAGUUUCAGGCUGGUAAAAAGAUUUCACGUUGCAGGAAUUUUAAUUACUGGAAUCCACGUACGUUGACUAAUUUGAACGAAGCUUUAGAAACCAAUGAGAUGGCGCGGAGGAUAUUUUAUUUGGAUACAUACCGUUCGUGUUUAUCUUCAAAUUGCGAUUGUAUUGCCAGCUAUUGUUCAUUGUACCGCUAUCAAAUGAAGUUGUAAUGUUAUAAAUGAUGUAUAAACGCGGUACAACUCUGUUAUGAUUGUAAUUUAUUAUUAUGCGUCGAAUGUAUGGGUAAAUGUUGACGGAUACUGGUUGCUAUACAAAUAAACGUAUAUAAUUUCGUAACGGUCGUUUCGGAAUAUUGUGUCCACAGAAAUUAUUAUAUAUUAAAUUUUCAAUUUGCUGUCAAUGAAAUUCGCAUUAUGUAUUAUUAAUAAUAACCAUUGUAUUUUUU